GCAAUGUCAACAAGAGGGAGAUCAAACACCAAUGGCAGCUUCUAAUGGCAGUGGUGUCUGAUCUCCCUCUUGUUGACAUUGC